CCACACCCAUUCCCUGUGAGAAAGAAACAUCGCAUGCGGGAAUAUAACUAUACGGCUUUGCUUCUCGAUACAACGACACACAAAACCUCUCUUUAUAUACAAAUCUCUGAGUUUGUGUAUUUACAUUACAAUGUAUAUAUAUAGCUUGAUAUAUCGACAUAUAUAGAUUUAGAAAGCGAUGUUUCUUGCUUAUUCAGGUCUUGAUAACCAGAAGCUUGUGUUCUUGCUCGUGGUCUAUCUCAGUGAGAUUAAUGCUGAUCAUGCUGCUGCCGAUGACGAUGAUGGAAGGUAUUGUCCUGGCUGAUAAAUCACCUUGAAGCCCUCGAUUCCAUUGAUGAAGAAGCUAAAUGGGGGAAUAAGCAUUCCUGGUCCGAUCCAUUUCCUUAUUUUAUAUAUAUAUCUUACAUUAAUAACUCGAUGUUUUUCAAGUUGUAAUUCGACGUUUGAAUCACGUACGUAUGUAAUUUUCUCAAGAAAAUGUAUGGUAGCUAGCUAGCAUUAAUAAUAUAAUUACAAGUCAGUCAAGGAGACAACGAUCGACUUUUAUUUAAGAAGGGGAAUCGGAAAUUUCCGUUACGUCCUCAAACCCAAUCGAUACGUAAGUGUGGUUGUAGAGUAAGAGACCCGUCGAAACGAAAGUUACGAUGAAUUUAU
rnacentral:lncRNA from 1 species